GAUGAACGCUAGCUACAGGCUUAACACAUGCAAGUCGAGGGGUAACGAGAGGAAAGCUUGCUUUCCUUGUCGACGACCGGCGCACGGGUGAGUAACGCGUAUCCAACCUGCCCCCAACUAGGGAAUAACCUUGCGAAAGUAAGACUAAUACCCUAUAAUUUCCUCAGAUGUCAUCUGACGAGGAAUAAAGAUUUAUCGGUUGUGGAUGGGGAUGCGUAUGAUUAGCUGGUUGGCGGGGUAACGGCCCACCAAGGCAACGAUCAGUAGGGGUUCUGAGAGGAAGGUCCCCCACAUUGGAACUGAGACACGGUCCAAACUCCUACGGGAGGCAGCAGUGAGGAAUAUUGGUCAAUGGGCGGAAGCCUGAACCAGCCAAGUAGCGUGCAGGAUGACGGCCCUAUGGGUUGUAAACUGCUUUUAUACAGGAAUAAAGUUAGCCACGUGUGGUUAUUUGUAGGUACUGUAUGAAUAAGGACCGGCUAAUUCCGUGCCAGCAGCCGCAGUAA
rnacentral:rRNA from 1 species